ACUGAGCACAUUUGGCAGGGGCAAAGAUGAAUUCUGAGGACACACUGGAAAUACCGAGUCAUCCCCAAGCCCCACCUCAUCCUCAAGGGAACUUUCUGAGGAGCUUCUGGAUGGGAGAUGCAGCUGCCUUUUUAAGUGGCAUAGCAUAUCCAUAUUUGGCCAGCUGUGAAAACAGAUGUAAGCUCCAGUAAAGGCCUGUCAGUAAGCAGAAUGGUCUUUCAUUCUGGAAUGAUUCUGAGGGCUAAGAAAGGACUUAACAGUAAAAGCUAAGCUACACAAACCAGGCUAGAAAAGAGAGUUAGGUUUAAAUCAUACCCUGGGCAACUGACUCAACCCUUCUCUUGCUCAAAGCCUCCAUUCCCACCCACCACCUCUGUUAACAUUUUCCCACUCUUCCAGCGCUAAACACCCCAACUAGAAUGUACUCCAGGCUGGCAGAGAUAUGGUCUGUGUUGUUCACUACCGUAACCUUAGCACAGUGCCUGACGCAAAAUAGGAAAUCAAGACACAAUUGAUCAAUAAAUGAAUGAACACAGCACAAAAUGUCUAGACGCUAUAUCCUCUGGGGGAGGGAAUGGUAUAGUAUCACCAUUAAAGGUUCAACCAACCUCACUCUAUCAUCCACUGACUUUAGGAUAACUU
rnacentral:lncRNA from 1 species